UGGGGAAUAUUGCACAAUGGGCGCAAGCCUGAUGCAGCCAUGCCGCGUGUAUGAAGAAGGCCUUCGGGUUGUAAAGUACUUUCAGCGGGGAGGAAGGGAGUAAAGUUAAUACCUUUGCUCAUUGACGUUACCCGCAGAAGAAGCACCGGCUAACUCCGUGCCAGCAGCCGCGGUAAUACGGAGGGUGCAAGCGUUAAUCGGAAUUCCUGGGCGUAAUGCGCACGCAGGCGGUUUGUUAAGUCAGAUGUGAAAUCCCCGGGCUCAACAUGGGAACUGCAUCUGAGACUGGCAAGCUUGAGUCUCGUAGAGGGAGGUAGAAUUCCAGGUGUAGCGGUGAAAUGCGUAGAUGUCUGGAGGAAUACCGGUGGCGAAGGGGGCGCCCUGGACGAAGACUGACGCUCAGGUGCGAAAGCGUUGGGUGCAAACAGG
rnacentral:rRNA from 1 species